rnacentral:piRNA from 1 species
UGCCUUAGUAUUUAUCCAGAGUUUCUUUUG